GCUGGGCAUGGUGGCGGGUGCCUGUAAUCCCAGCUACUUGGGAGGCUGAGGCAGGAGAAUCGCUUGAACCCGGGAGGCGGAGGUUGCAGUGACCUGAGAUCGUGCCACUGCACUCCAGCCUGGGUGACAGAGCGAGGCUCUGUCUCAA
rnacentral:SRP_RNA from 1 species